rfam:Homo sapiens chromosome 19, GRCh38 reference primary assembly.
GCCGGGCAUGGUGGCGCGUGCCUGUAAUCCCUGCUACUGGGGAGGCUGAGGCAGGAUACUUGCUUGAACCCGGGAGGCGGAGGUUGCAGUGAGCCGAGAUCACGCCACUGCACUCCAGCCUGGGCGACAGAGCGAGACUCUGUCUCAA